CCAGCCCACGUCAUACUUGCAUGUGGCUGUAUAGCCGUGUUGUCUCCCAGGCACCAUGAGCUCAUGUGAUGGGUGCCUUUUCCACACCAUUUACUUAAGAAGAAAUUGCUCUUGCAGGAAUCUUCUCUGAAGCCAUCUGCCUACAAGCUUGAGACUUUAUGUGGUAAUUCUGGACCUCUUCAUACAGACCAGGAUAACACAAGGAUGGUGGAGGCCUGGGUCCCUGCAGGGCUGUGUGACACACAGAUGCCCACCCAGUGGGACCAGUUUGACUUCCAGACUGUGACGUGGGUCUCCAGUCAAUCGCCACCUCAAUGGCCUGCAACCCUGGACUCUAACAAAAGCAAGAAACCCAAGAAUUUUAGACCUGGGAAGUCUGGGGCUCACUGGGAAUUAGGUCUGACAGUUGCAUCCUUUGGGGAAAGAGAAGAUACUUUUGAAUAUCUGAGGCCUUGGUAAUCAUUGGGUAGUGGGGUCUGGGUUGAUGCAAGAAGGGCAGCAGAAGCGUGAUAGCAGGUUUGACUCUCUCUUUUUCUCUCAAAUGAUUAUUUAUUUUCAUUUUACAUGUAUUGGUGUUUUGUCUGUCUGUAUGUCUGUGUAAGGGCAUUGAGUCCCCAGAGCUGGAGUUACAUGGACAGUUGCGGGUGGCCAGGCCCUUUGGAAGAAUGAGCUUAGCUACUGAGCUCUUAGCUAUUGAGCCAUCUCCUGCCUCAUAGGCUUCACUGUCUUAAAGCAAUCAGACUAGGCCCCCUGACAAACUCCAGAGUAUCUUUUUUUGAAGAAUGUAGUAAAUGACACGUCAGUCAUCAGUUUAUAGAAAAGGAAACAGCCCUUGGAAUUUAUGAAUUGACGGUAAAGAGUCAUGCAGUAGCAAUAUUGGGUCUCAGAUCCAGGGCUCCUGCUUAUUCUGAGCUGACUCUCCAUUGUUUUUACAAUUGUCUUGAUUUUCCUCCAGAUAUUCCCCAUUGCCCUCAAGUCAAGGGGCUGAUUUCUAGAACACUGCUCUGAGGUACAAGCAUUAUCAAUGAGCCAUGAUGAAACAUUUGAUCAUAUUUGACAAUAUAGUGUAGGUCAACGGUGAACAAGUAGCUGUGAGUAUUUCUGUCUGUUGCCCUUGGCCCCCGUCCACUCUUGAGCCAGACACCCAUUUUCCUCAUCUGGUUUCUUGGAGCAUGCCUUGUUUUCUAGCUUUCUCAGUCAGUUCCCCUCUUUUCUCUUAGCAGACACAGCUUUCUAGCUGGUCCCAAACUGAGGUGUCUCUGCAUUCUUUGCCCAUCUUGGCAUAGCAUAGAAACAGUUGGCAGGAACCCCUUUGGAUGUCAGCCCAUACAAUGGCAAGACAUACAGGGCAGACAGCUUGGAAUUUAUGAUCUCGUCAAGUCCAGGGACAUACAACCAGCAGGCCCAACUCAAGGCUUGAUGUCUUAGUUAGGGUUUCUGUUGUUGCAACUAAAUGCUAUGACCAAAAAGGAAGUUAGGGAGGAAAAGGGUUUAGUUGGCUUACAGUUCCAUAUCACAUGUUCAUUGUUGAAGGAAGUCAGGACAGGAACUCAGACAGGGCA
rnacentral:lncRNA from 1 species